GACGAACGCUGGCGGCGUGCUUAACACAUGCAAGUCGAACGGAAAGGCCCUGCUUUUGUGGGGUGCUCGAGUGGCGAACGGGUGAGUAACACGUGAGUAACCUGCCCUUGACUUUGGGAUAACUUCAGGAAACUGGGGCUAAUACCGGAUAGGAGCUCCUGCUGCAUGGUGGGGGUUGGAAAGUUUCGGCGGUUGGGUAUGGACUCGCGGCUUAUCAGCUUGUUGGUGGGGUAGUGGCUUACCAAGGCUUUGACGGGUAGCCGGCCUGGGAGGGUGACCGGCCACAGUGGGACUGAGAUGCGGCCCAGAGGCAUACGGGAGGCAGCAGUGGGGAAUAUUGCACAAUGGGCGGAAGCAUGAUGCAGCAACGCCGCGUGCGGGAUGACGGCCUUCGGGUUGUAAACCGCUUUCGCCUGUGACGAAGCGUGAGUGACGGUAAUGGGUAAAGAAGCACCGGCUACUACGUG
rnacentral:rRNA from 1 species